ensembl:lncRNA
GUGUAACUUGUAAGCAAUCACAUUAGAUUCAGCAAGGUGCCCCAUGCUGACCCGUGAGCAAAAAUGCGCAGAGCCAUGCGAUGCAUUUCUGUCCCGUGAGAAGUUUCAGAGAGCACACAGGACCCAUCAGAACAGCAGGCUCAAUGGCAUGGGACUCCAUAGUGGAACAAAGACUACAGCUCCAAGUCACAAACCAGAGAGGGGUCCCACCUCUUAAAACAUUUCCAGUACAUCAACAUGGAUCAUCUUCUCCAAACACUGGUGCCUAUAGCAACAGCAUGCUUCAGGGGAGGUCCCUUAGUGACUCAAGAAUCCUCUCUGAAAAAAAGGCCAGGAAAUCAUUCACAGCCAAAAAAGCUCUGCUCAUAGCAUGUGGAGUGCGAUGUGUCCUGUCACCACGACCCUCUAACUGCUCCACAUCAUCACCCCAUAAAGACGAGAACGGCAGAGCUCAUUCCAUCUCUGCAGAAGAACAGAAAUGCAGUAGAGACUGUGUUGAAACAAAGACUGAACUGAAAGUAUGGGAUGAAUACACUUUGAUUAAAAGACGAGGGGAGAGAGAAAGAGCGAGGAGCAGUAUACACAGACAGAGAGUCCCGCUGGAUUUAAGCCACCGGCCUUCCACUGUCCCACUGGAGAAUCAGACGGGACGCCGAGCACUAAGCACACCAGAAACACCCAUGUGUAAGAUUCUCUGGAGAAGAAAAGAUGACCAAAAUGUCCUUCAAGAUAGACCUCAACAUUUUACUGAAGAUGAGAAUCUCAGUCUAACCCCCUUACUACAUCUCUACCUGCCUUCAUCAUAUCAGCUGCAGGGGCAGAGAGAAGACACAGCAGCGGGACAGGAAAAUAGCUCAGAGGUACAUGAGAGGCAAGACGUCACAGAGGAACUCAGAGAGCAUGACAUCACCAUGGAGAGCCAAAAACAAGACAUCACCGUCAAUAAAACAGCAGAUGAAGGACAAAAUGAUUUCACAGAUGGUAUGCGAUAUGAUAAUACAGAUACCUGUGAGAAUGACACUCCUGAGGAAAUGUUUGAGAAUGACAAGAUUGACGAAAAACGUCCACAAGACGUCACAGAUGACAACAGACAACAGAAAAUCAUAGAAAAUCAAUGUGACAUUGACAGAUCGUUUAAUAUUGUAGAGGACAAGCAAGAAUAUGACAUUACAGAGAAGACUGAAGGCGAAUAUAGGAGAAUCAAAUUGAAUAGAAGUUCAUACAAAUCUUCUGAUCUCAAACACAGAAUCAAAACACGUUACCCGGCCACAGCUACAGCGCUAACGUUCCCGUCUCCCCUGAUGGACAGAAAUCCCUCUCCCACUCUCAGCAUCCUGCCAUCAUUUUAUGGAACUUCAUUUGGAUAUCGCAUCAGAACCACAUCUGAGCCCUGCCGAUCCAAAACAAGGACCAGAGAAGCCUGUGAUGACAACAGAUCUAGAGAGCCCAUGAAUGACAUGCGACAUACCAUAGAAAUAAAAGGAAAACCCUGCUUAUUGAAAACAAAGGCUGGAGUGCCAGUCAGCCCCCACCCCAAAAUAAUGAGCCCUGAGAGGGGGUCCCAGCCUCGUAAAAUCAAAACCACCAAGACGUUUUUGUGAGGACCAGAGGGGCCUCUAGAGACUAAGACAGUGUGUGAGCUACAUAGUCCUGUGAACAGGUGGAGAAGCCUGGAUUAGGUCUGAGAAUGAUUUGACGGCACAAUUGUGUGUGGCCCUUUAUUCCUUUCCAAUACAGAAAAUCUGCUUUGCAGACUGGCAUGCUAGACCAAUUUGUGUCUAACAACUUAAAUGUCUUAUGGCUUUGAGAAGAAUGGCUUUAGCACAGGCUGUGAUGUUGAGUUAAGUCCAGCGAGAAAGAGUGAUAGACUUUUUAGGUUUUCUUUCUGUCACUUAUAUGAUCUUCCUCAGUUAAAGUCGCUUAAGCUGUAUUGACACAUUAUUAUGAUUCCUCAAAAUUAAAUCCCUGCAGGUUUUGGUGUUUUCUUCCUCUCUCUCUCUCUCUCUCUCUCUCUCUCUCUCUCGGUUUGAUAUAAAACUAGUACAUCUUCUAAAAUAUGUAACUCCAUCCAAAAAUCAUGUCUGGUGACUGUCUUUCAACACUGGGGAAUGACGUUACAUAAGACUUUUGAAGGCCGAAAAGACAAAUGCCUUUACAGCUGUUGAUUUUGAAACAAAAGUGGUACAUUUAAGUGAUGUAUAGUGCACACAAUAAAACGUCAGUUACUGAUAGUUUGAUAUUAGUU